rnacentral:lncRNA from 1 species
CCUUCCAUCAGCCGCCCUACACCUAUUCAAGCAGCCCAAAAUUCAGGCUUUAUGCCAUGCUUGGCAGAGGCAAUUAAAUGCCCCAUUUUCAGCCUCCAAUCUCAUCCCCAAGUCAAAUAUUGCAGGCAAAUCUCCAUCAAAUCUCCAUCAAAUCUCAUCAAAUCUCAUCCCGUCAAAUAUUUCAGCCCAGCUGCCCUAUUCACAACCCAUGCUGCUACACUACUCAUCAAUCCAUUCAACUGUUAACUCAUUUUUUUUCUUUAAAUGAUCUUUCCUCAUUCACAAUCAUCUUUACCCAGCUGCAAGAAUUCAUACGGUAAAGUUCUCUCUUCAACUCAUUUUUUUUCUCAACUAUGUAAACCAACUCACACACUCAAUAAUCAGUCAUUCAUUUCACAAAGAAGAUAAUCACCGAUGACAUAGACAUAGACAUAAUUUGAUUUGCAUAUCAUACACAUAUGCAUUUUCUGCAAAUUGCUAAUCAAAGCUUUUUAAAGGGAAUAAGCUAU